GAUGAACGUUGGCGGCGUGCCUAAUACAUGCAAGUCGAACGAAGACUGUAGUAAUACUGUCUUAGUGGCGAACGGGUGAGUAACGCGUGGGUGACCUGCCCCGAAGUGUGGGAUAACAGUUCGAAAGGAUUGCUAAUACUGCAUAAUAUCCAAGAGAUUAGACGCUUUUGGAUUAAAGGAGUAAUUCGCUUCGGGAGGGGCCCGCGUCCCAUCAGCUAGUUGGUAAGGUAAUGGCUUACCAAGGCGAUGACGGGUAGGGGACCUGAGAGGGUGGCCCCCCACAAUGGAACUGAAACACGGUCCAUACACCUACGGGUGGCAGCAGUAGGGAAUAUUAGUAAUGGGCGAAAGCCUGAACUAGCAACGCCGCGUGUGCGAAGAAGGCCUUCGGUUGUAAAGCACUUUUGUAGAGGAUGAGGAAGGACGGUACUCUCAGAAUAAGUCUCGGCUAACUACGUG
rnacentral:rRNA from 1 species